CUUUCCCUCUUCACAGAUGGGGAAACACUCACAGGAAGCGGCUGGCCUGAGGUCAUGGCGAGGAGCCCUCCACAGCGGCUCCCACUGGCCAUUCUUAAGCAGACGGGUCUCCAUGCCUAAGCUUGCUCAGUCCUCCCAGCCGUCGUGAGGAAAUAGCUUCUAGCCUUUGAUGUCUCCAGAUGUCACACUGUAGCUGUUCCUCAGAUGGCACGAGGCAGCUGCUCGCAGAGGACACUCUCUCUUCAUUCUUCCUCAGCCUCUCUCUCUCCCCCUCAAGGGCGGCUGGAAAGUGUCCCCAGAGGAAGAAAAAAAGGCUGCCAUUCUCCUUGUUCAUGGCUGUUUGUCGUCUUCAGAGCCAGCACUCACAUCCCUGUUCCAGCCCCACAUCUUUGUCUGGUUGUGACAAUCGCCCUGUGACAGUAUUGGGUCACUUAGAUAGUCCCAGAAACUUUCCCCAUGGAAAGAUCUCUGACUUGGUCACACCUGCCAGUCCCUUUCCCAUUUGUGUAAGUAACAUAUUCAUGGAUUAUAAGACUAGCAUGUAGUGCUGGAGAGAUGGCUCCGCGGUUAAGACUGCUCUUGCAGAGGACCUGGGUUCAGUUCACCGGGACCCACACAGUAGCUCACAACUAUCUGUGACUUCUGUGCUGCAGGAUCCAAUACACAAGCACCGGUCUCCUCAGGCACCAGGCACACACGUGGUACACAGACAAACAUGCAG
rnacentral:lncRNA from 1 species